CGCCUCUUGAAUAUUAUAAGAGGUCCAGCCUGCCCAGUGACUCUGUUCAACGGCCGCGGUAUCCUAACCGUGCGAAGGUAGCGUAAUCACUUGUUCUUUAAAUGAGGACUAGUAUGAAUGGCACCACGAAGGUUAUACUGUCUCCUUUCUUUAAUCAGUGAAACUAAUCUCUCCGUGAAGAAGCGGGGAUAUAAUUAUAAGACGAGAAGACCCUAUGGAGCUUUAAACGUGAGUAACAAUUGCCCGCCAUAAUAUUUUUCCCCGGAAAUUAACCACAAUACUUAGGCAUCUUGAUUACAAGUUUUAGGUUGGGGUGACCGCGGAGCAGAGAAUAACCUCCGCAGUGAAUGGAACUUAUUUCCUAAACCCAGGGCCACGACCCUAAGCAUCAAUAAAUUGACACUAAUUGACCCAAUAUUUUGAUCAAUGAACCAAGUUACCCUAGGGAUAACAGCGCAAUCCACUUCAAGAGCCCCUAUCGACAAGUGGGUUUACGACCUCGAUGUUGGAUCAGGGUAUCCCAGUGGUGCAGCCGCUACUAAAGGUUCGUUUGUUCAACGAUUAAAACCCU
rnacentral:rRNA from 1 species